CACGAUCCGUAAGGAAGCGCGCUCCCUAUCGACCGACAACAACACUUCUGUGUCGCUCGAUUCCGCUCAACCACCGUCGACCCAGACACCAGUCCCGUCGACCGAUUCUCGCUCACCCCUGUCGAUCGACAACACAAACCUUCCAUCGACCGAUACCCUUCACCCGAAAUCGAUCGACAUUCCAUCUCGGACAUCGAUCGAUACUGAACCACGAGACAUGGUUGCGCCUUUGAUACUUGUUCGGGACAACAAUGGAGACAUGUGUGGGAACCGAAAUUCGCACUGUCGAUUUCCGUUUAAAUUAGGAAACUAAAAAAACCCUAAUUUCCCAGAGGUCUCAGAGAUCUGUUAAUACCACACACUAAGCAAUCAGAACAC
rnacentral:lncRNA from 1 species